GUUCACAAUAGGGAGAUGUAGAUACAAUCUUUGGAUUUCAGAAAGAUAUAACACUGGCCUCCUAUGCAGGGAAGAAAAACAAAGUAGUAGCUAUACUGUCAACAUUACACCAUGAUGAUAAGAUUGUUAGCGAAGCUGGACAUGGUGGUGCACCCUCUAGUCCCAGCUCUUGGGAGGCUGAGGCAGGAAGAUUUUGCAAUAGCAUUGGGGGUUGCCAGCACUUACUGGGCACUUAGGACAUGUAUUCUCCAGGGCUGCAGUGCAAUUCUUAGUUUAGAUGUGCUUGAAGCAGACGCUGAAACAGGGACACUAAAGCAGGCUGUCUAUACUGCAGUGAUCAGAGAAGCCCACAUGAUCCUAAACAUGUCGGGCAUAAAUAGUUUCAUAGUUUACAAAGAAACAUCACAAGAACCUCCUAAGAAAACAGGAAGGCCAGCAAGAGGUCAAGCAGGUCCUACCAGAGAAGACAGGAAAAUGAAGCCCAUGUGCUAUCAUUCAAUGGAGCAAAAUAAACAAUGGUACGCAGUUGUACAGAAAGAGAGCAGCAAGUCCACUCUUGUAUGGGCAACACAAUGA
rnacentral:lncRNA from 1 species